rnacentral:rRNA from 1 species
GACGAACGCUGGCGGCGUGCUUAACACAUGCAAGUCGAACGGAAAGGCCCUGCUUUUGUGGGGUGCUCGAGUGGCGAACGGGUGAGUAACACGUGAGUAACCUGCCCUUGACUUUGGGAUAACUUCAGGAAACUGGGGCUAAUACCGGAUAGGAGCUCCUGCUGCAUGGUGGGGGUUGGAAAGUUUCGGCGGUUGGGGAUGGACUCGCGGCUUAUCAGCUUGUUGGUGGGGUAGUGGCUUACCAAGGCUUUGACGGGUAGCCGGCCUGAGAGGGUGACCGGCCACAUUGGGACUGAGAUACGGCCCAGACUCCUACGGGAGGCAGCAGUGGGGAAUAUUGCACAAUGGGCGGAAGCCUGAUGCAGCAACGCCGCGUGCGGGAUGACGGCCUUCGGGUUGUAAACCGCUUUCGCCUGUGACGAAGCGUGAGUGACGGUAAUGGGUAAAGAAGCACCGGCUAACUACGUGCCAGCAGCCGCGGUGAUACGUAGGGUGCGAGCGUUGUCCGGAUUUAUUGGGCGUAAAGGGCUCGUAGGUGGUUGAUCGCGUCGGAAGUGUAAUCUUGGGGCUUAACCCUAAGCGUGCUUUCGAUACGGGUUGACUUGAGGAAGGUAGGGGAGAAUGGAAUUCCUGGUGGAGCGGUGGAAUGCGCAGAUAUCAGGAGGAACACCAGUGGCGAAGGCGGUUCUCUGGGCCUUUCCUGACGCUGAGGAGCGAAAGCGUGGGGAGCGAACAGGCUUAGAUACCCUGGUAGUCCACGCUGUAAACGGUGGGUACUAGGUGUGGGGUCCAUUCCACGGGUUCCGUGCCGUAGCUAACGCUUUAAGUACCCCGCCUGGGGAGUACGGCCGCAAGGCUAAAACUCAAAGGAAUUGACGGGGCCCCGCACAAGCGGCGGAGCAUGCGGAUUAAUUCGAUGCAACGCGUAGAACCUUACCUGGGUUUGACAUGGAUCGGGAGUGCUCAGAGAUGGGUGUGCCUCUUUUGGGGUCGGUUCACAGGUGGUGCAUGCCUGUCGUCAGCUCGUGUCGUGAGAUGUUGGGUUAAGUCCCGCAACGAGCGCAACCCUUGUUCACUGUUGCCAGCACGUUAUGGUGGGGACUCAGUGGAGACCGCCGGGGUCAACUCGGAGGAAGGUGGGGAUGACGUCAAGUCAUCAUGCCCCUUAUGUCCAGGGCUUCACGCAUGCUACAAUGGCUGGUACAGAGAGUGGCGAGCCUGUGAGGGUGAGCGAAUCUCGGAAAGCCGGUCUCAGUUCGGAUUGGGGUCUGCAACUCGACCUCAUGAAGUCGGAGUCGCUAGUAAUCGCAGAUCAGCAACGCUGCGGUGAAUACGUUCCCGGG